GUCACUGUAACGCAAAGGAUAGCGCAUUGGACUUCUCAUACAAAGGUUGUGGUUUCGAUUACCACGUGGGAUG